rnacentral:rRNA from 1 species
UACGUAGGGCGCAAGCGUUAUCCGGAAUCAUUGGGCGUAAAGAGCGUGUAGGCGGCUUGUUAAGUCUUGCGUGAAAUCUCGGGGCUCAACCCCGAGCGGUCGUGAGAAACUGGCAGGCUAGAGUGCGGGAGAGGAGAGUGGAAUUCCUGGUGUAGCGGUGAAAUGCGCAGAUAUCAGGAAGAACACCCGUGGCGAAGGCGGCUCUCUGGAACGCAACUGACGCUGAGACGCGAAAGCGUGGGGAGCAAACAGG